GGGAGGUCCAACGGUCCGACCCCAGCCGGACUCGAGCUCACUCGGUUGCAGGCGUUAGGCUCCCAGCGGCUCUCCGCCGUUAAGUGGAGAUUGUUCAGGACUGUGGAGGCUCGCUCGGCACCUGGCCUGAAGGCGGGAGAUUUGGCAACCAGUAGCAUGGGAGGAUGCUGCGUCCUCCAGGAAGCUCUCUAGCGCUUUUCCGAGUCCUGGAGCCAGGCGGGACUUCUCUGUGGUCGCCUAGAAGGAGACCAACAAUUGUCAGCACAGCAAAACUGGGCAUUUCUUUUCUUGCCGAGCUUUGCAGCUACCUACACAGUUGUGUGUGGCAUCUCCUCCUGGGGGCAAGGACAUGAGAUGACAUCAGGGCCUUGCUGUGUCAUCCAGGCUGGAGUGCAGUGAUAGGAGCAUGGCUUACUGCAGCCUCAACCUCCCAGCUUCAAGCAAUGCUCCCACCUUGGCCUCCCAAAGUGCUGGGAUUACAGGCAUGAGCCACCAUGCUUGGCCCAUUGCCAUUGCAGUAAGAUUUGAAAUCAAUAAGUCUCGUUCUCCUGAACGGUGAAUUAUCUUAGGAAAGAUUGUAUUUUCAGGAAUUAAGUCUACUGGAGACACAGCAGGACUCCACAGCCAGCUAGAUUCGGAUAAAAUGUAGACCGCCUCAAGGCCAGUGUGUUGACUUCUGACCAGUCUCAUCUGAACCCACAGCCUUUAACAUAUAUACAAAACACCCUGAAGGGUUGGGCUGCCAGCUUUCUUUAGGAUGAUAGAGGGCAGGUUAAGUUUGUUUGACAUAACCGGAAGAGGCAGAGCCUCUUCCUAAUGGAGCAGGGUCCAUUUAUGGCAAAUUGUGGUUCCCCACCACUCUCAGCUACUUCUGGGUAGCUUUUGCUUAGAGUUGAUGAGAUAUUGUUUCUUUCACUAGAAGAAAGUGAAUGAGUUGGUGAUCUCAAACUUUGGUUUCCAAAGGAAGCCUGGGCAGGUGACAAAGGUGUCCUAAGCGAGACUGCUGCUUCCAUGCUCAUGCUGGAGGUACAUUUGCUCUGAAAGACGGAGCAAAAGUGCUGAAGCUUAGCACAGAGGAUUAAUGAACAAGAACAAGGCUAUAUUAUAUUAUAUUAUAUUAUGUUAUGUUAUGUUAUGUUAUGUUAUAU